UGGUUAGCCACGGUUUGGUUGGAUCCCUGCCUCGCGCAGCGACGUUCGACCGUACGUUCCUCUUCAAUAUUUCGGCCCAAGCAAGCUUGGCCGGCCAAUCGGUUUCCUGUGUUGCCUACCUACUAACGACGGUAUUCGGUUGCCAAAUUUUUACCCGUUCGCCCAAUGCUUCCCGUUCGUUCGGUGCGGCUGCGGGUGAUCCCUCAAGCGGUAUUUGUGUUCCCCGGCACAACACGCUAGCCGUUGUUUUUGCCGUGGCACACUAAUUUUCGCUCGGGCUCCGGGAUGCGGAAUACACAAUGGGCAAGGGGUCUUGGACCUCUAUUUCGCUCACGAAAGCUAAACGCUCGCAUAAACGACGUCCGGUGCUUCGUUGACGCUCGCGUCGCGUGGCCCGGUGUCAGUGAGGAAUGCUACCUGGUUGAUCCUGCCCAGUAGUCAUAUGCUUGUCUCAAAGAUUAAGCCAUGCAUGUGUAAAUAAA
rnacentral:misc_RNA from 1 species